rnacentral:rRNA from 1 species
AGCGAACGCUGGCGGCAGGCCUAACACAUGCAAGUCGAACGAACCUUUCGGGGUUAGUGGCGGACGGGUGAGUAACACGUGGGAACGUGCCUUUAGGUUCGGAAUAACUCAGGGAAACUUGAGCUAAUACCGAAUGUGCCCUUCGGGGGAAAGAUUUAUCGCCUUUAGAGCGGCCCGCGUCUGGUUAGCUAGUUGGUUGAGGUAAUGGCUCACCAAGGCGACGAUCAGUAGCUGGUCUGAGAGGAUGAUCAGCCACAUUGGGACUGAGACACGGCCCAAACUCCUACGGGAGGCAGCAGUGGGGAAUCUUGCGCAAUGGGCGAAAGCCUGACGCAGCCAUGCCGCGUGAAUGAUGAAGGUCUUAGGAUUGUAAAAUUCUUUCACCGGGGACGAUAAUGACGGUACCCGGAGAAGAAGCCCCGGCUAACUUCGUG